GACGAACGCUGGCGGCGUGGAUUAGGCAUGCAAGUCGAACGGUAUCAUCCUUUCGGGGGUGAGAGAGUGGCGAACUGGUGAGUAACACGUAGGUUAUCUACCCUCAAGACGGGGACAACCCUGGGAAACUUGGGCUAAUACCGGAUGUGAGCAACUUUUAGUUGUUUGAAAGGUGGCGUAAGCUGUCGCUUGGGGAUGAGCCUGCGUCCUAUUAGUUAGUUGGUGAGGUAACGGCUCACCUAGGCAAUGAUAGGUAGGCGGCCUUAACGGGUGGUCGCCCACACUGGGAUUGAGAUACGGCCCAGACUCCUACGGGAGGCAGCAGUCGAGAAUAGUCUACAAUGGUCGGAAGACUGAUAGUGCGACGCCGCGUGAACGAUGAAUCCCUUCGGGGUGUAAAGUUCUUUUAUAUGUGAGCAGUGCUUCUUAUAUUAACAGUAUGGGGAGAGAGAUAUUAGCAUAUGAAUAAGCAACGGCUAACUCCGUGCCAGCAGCCGCGGU
rnacentral:rRNA from 1 species